UUCUUGUUGCCUUCGCUACUUCUGGCAGGUUGGUUUCUUUCUCUAUCUUCUUUACUUUCACUCAUUUACUCCUUAACAUUGUACCUACUCCAGAUUUUCUUAUAUAGUUGUUCAGUAGAUGUUAAGGUUUAUGAUGUACGAAGAACAAGCUGCUUUAACUGAUUAAGGAGUUGGUUCUGUUCUAGAGAUAUGUUUAUGCCAUCAAGUGCAUUAACCCUGGCUAGUGUUCUUCUUUACCCUAAAGCUCUUGGAGGAGGUUCAGUCUUUAGCGGAUGGAUUCCAUUCAAUAUUUGGAGUUAUGGAUCAAACAACGGAUGCAGAGCUCUUGGUAUUAAAAGGCAACAUUGUACUCAAGGUAACAAUAUCCUAGUGCCUAUCAAGAUUAGAAUAACAUCAGCUCAUCUCUGGUCUAGUUUCUCUAUCAUGAAAACCGGUUUUUUGGUUUAAACGUCUUGUUUGGUUAUGUAAACUGGUACUUUUGUUAACUACAAACAGUUUGUACUUUGCAUUGAUUUGGAAAAUUAUAUGUCAACACUAUAAUUCUUUUAUUUAGUCAACAAAUCAAGUGACUACAUAACUCGAA